GCUGGAGUUCCUUCUGCCGAACAAUUUCUAUUCAUCUUUGGAGACCAUAGCACUGCUCAGCUCUGGUUUAUGGCAGUGCCAGUGUUGAACUUAGGACCUUCGGACCUCAGGCAGCCUGCUAACAAGACAAGUACAUACUGUUGAGCCGUGUUUGCCAUUAGCUGUCCACUCUUCACAUUCUCAGUGUCGUCAAAGG